ACGAAGCAUGUGUACCUGCUGUAAAUAUGGACAGAGAGCUACUUGUAGGCUUUAGAUGGGCAACAUUGAGCUGUUUAUUGCCCAUAAAGGACCUUCAAACAUUC